UACGUAGGUGGCAAGCGUUGUCCGGAUUUAUUGGGUUUAAAGGGUGCGUAGGCGGUCCUAUAAGUCAGUGCUGAAAUAUCCCGGCUUAACCGGGAGGGUGGCAUUGAUACUGCAGGACUUGAGUGAAUUUGAGGUAGGCGGAAUUGACGGUGUAGCGGUGAAAUGCUUAGAUAUCGUCAAGAACACCGAUAGUGAAGACAGCUUACCAAGCUUCAACUGACGCUGAGGCACGAAAGUGUGGGGAUCAAACAGG
rnacentral:rRNA from 1 species